rnacentral:lncRNA from 1 species
CUCUGUGUUUGGCCACAGCUGCUCUGUGCUGUUGGAGCUGCAGUGAGAAUUCAGCUCAGCGGCACAUUAGGCGCUUGGCCAGCAGUUUGUGCUGUUACUGUUUUGGUGCCAGCAUUGCUUUGAGUGUCACGGUACCAUUCUACGGCGGUUCCAUACGUCAUAAACACACUUGAUCCUUCAUCUGUGUAAUUCCUAAUUGCAGUUUUACAGGUAAGAUCAAAGCACAGAAGCAUGCAGGCGCUUACCUUGUCCCAAAAUCAGUGAUCAAGUAAUCAGUGCUCAAGUGCUCAUCUCAUGAGACUUGCUUGUGUGGAGCCAUGACUUCAACUCACCAACUAUGUGGAAGAAAACCCCAAAUCUCACGUCCUCGGCCCCUUUGGAGUGGGCCACUUACAUCGUGCCCGCUCAGAGCCUUCCCUUAGCUCUGACAGCGUUUGGCUGCACUAACAGCAACUUCAGCAGUCUGCUGGGCAGUAAUCCCACCUUUCUACAUCGCUGACUGUUCCAAUGUGUGUAAUCAGAGUAAUCCCAAAGAAUGCGUGACAGACACGUACACUGUAGGGGUUUUAUUUAUUUAAGAAUACAUUCAGUGGUGUUACGUUAUCUUCAUUGUCCGAAGCUUUUGCCCCAGGCAGUUGCUUGAUUUGCUACAUUUUUUACAGCUUUCUCACCGGUUUCAGCGACCUUGUAGACCUCAUCGAGAGCUUUUAAAAAAGAAAAACAAAGGUAACUGCAGCAUCACUGCACUAUGUUCCCCUUCCCCACCAGCUGUGGGUGGGAGGGGAGGUGGAGAGGGGAAUGUGCUGAAGGGGUCUGGUUAUGGCACCGUCCUGCGUGGGCAGGGAAAGAGUGACCUCAUUGCUGUUGACUGGGCAGCCCUGGCACUGCAGCACAGCCCAGCCUGGAGUGGGCUGAGGCCCCUGUGGACUCAGAGCCCCCGGAUCAGAGCAGAAGUGCUGUGCUCUGGAAUGGGAAGCGCUAAGAAAGCUGGGCUCUGCCCUCCCACCGCAGUCACUGAGGGCAGCAACGUGGCUGGGAGGAUCUCACAAGGAGGUGGGUGCUGGGACAGGGGCGAGGGACCCAUCUGGGAUUUCACUGGAAUGACGGUGAAAGCAGCAGGAACAUGACCAUACCUUUCUGACCAGCAUCCUUGGCCUGCUCCACUGCUUGCUGCACAGUCUGCCCCACCGUGUUAACUGCGGAGUAAAACAGCAUCAAUUAAGCAGUCUUUAUCUGUCCCUCUAAACUCAGUAUUCACACCUCUGUAGAUGAUUCUAAGAAGAAAAAUCAGUCAAAUACAAUUUUGGGUGAGUGACCUGCAGCUGAACCUGGUUGUCUCAUUCGCCCCGGCUCCAUGUUGCACCACUUUUACCCACUGCCCUGCCCAGCCCCACAGGCUGCAUGAACAGCCGGGCUGCUCGUGGGGGAGGGCAUGAGCACACCAUGAGGACAGAUGCGUGGGGGAAAGGACAGCAUUUCAGUGGGCUGGGAUUGCCCAGAACUUCAGAACUUCUCCAGGCCUGGGCUGAGUUGCCCUCCAGCAAGCAGCAGCUGAGGCAGUAAGGCUGUCUCAAACCAGUGGCCUACUUCACCCUGGGCUUGUAAGAUAUUUGUACUGCAUAAAGCUACACUAAUUAUCAUCAUGCAUCCCCUUCUGGCACAGGUCAUCAGCUGGCGGAUGAGGUGGGCUGAGGAAGAUGCUUCCUGCAAAGAUCCCAGGUUACAUCCCAAUUUACAGCUCCCUUAGGAGCUAUUGGGCGGGUGCUAAUUUUAGAUGCUAGCAAAGAUCAGUUGUGCCACUCCAAACAUAGAAAGGCUCAUGGGACUAAGCCUCCGGGGCAUGUGCAGGCACAGCCGAAGUACUUUGGAGAUGACGUGGUUAAUAGUUGCAGAACCAUCAGUUGGACAGUCUUGUUCCAGUUUAAGAACUGGCAUAAAAACCCUCUUUGUUUUCAUUUAAAGAGGGAUUUGGAGAAUACCCCUACUGAUAGUGCUUCCAGGACUGGGUGCAUUGCGAGUGGUGAUGUUUGUUGAGCAACUACUGUCACUCACCAAGGCAGGCACAAGAGCACAACAGCAGCCAGAGCAGGACUGCCUGGGAGGAUGUGUGUGGGGUUCAGGCCAAGGGCUGCCGAGGGUGUCUGAAGGGCUGCGAGCAUUUGGGGCAGAAGGGGAAGGACUGCUGCAGUCUAAAAGCUCUGCUCUCAGAGUUGGUUGGCUCUCAAACACUUAGUUCCAUCAUCUGAACACUGAGAUAACUUCUCAGCCUGUUCAAGAAAGAAAAAUGCCAUGCCUAAAACCCCCACAUCGGUCUUCUAGCACAGGAAGAAGUUGAUAAUUGUCCUCUAAUGUAAAGAAAUAGAGCAGGAACAUGAAAAUCUCCACGGAAUAUGCAUGUCUAGGGCUGCUGUAAAGCAAAAGCAAGAGGAACUUUUCAUCUGAAAACAUGAGUGCUUGCCCGAGUUGUAGUGUUUUCCUUCCAUGCUUCAGCAUGAAGAUGUUCUGAGAAUCACCACAAAUUCUUUGGAAAAGGGACCACUAGUUGUGGUGAGGGGUCUUUCCUGUUCCUAGCAAGCUGGCCCAGGGACAAGUAGUAAAUAAGCAGCAGGCUUCAUUGAGCACUGCCUAGAGGACUGGCACAUUAGGAGAUGGUAUUAAAAAAGAAAUCCUUAAAGUAGCAUUUCUACUGCAGUUGAGGUCGCCCGCAGUGCCCAGUUUCACUCUACACGGCAUUAGGUGAACUCAGCUACUCCCACUGCAUGAAGCACAGACGUCUGAGGAAUUGCACCACGGCAGCCUUUGUAUGAGGGCUUCACGGGCAGUGUCUCACCUAAAUGGCACAAUGCUUCAUCCUGGGCAGGGGCUGGAAGUGUCACAGCAUGAGCUGCAGGCGCCCCAAGCCCAGUGACUGCACCAGGGCUUGCGGUGGGAUGAGCAGCUACAGCAUCAGCUGGGCGCAUCAAAGACCUUCAAGAAGCGAAUCCAUCCCGGUGUUGCAGAGCUCAUAUUUGUCACAGCUGCUCGUGCUUUGAAAAAGUUGCAAAAAAGUAACGCAAAACCUGAACGGCCUCACUUUCCCUCUCAGCUUUCUGCCGUCCUCAUCCCUUCAGCACAUUAUCCAUCUGGCACCCACUUGGGGAAGGGGUGCGAGCAGCACCGGGAAGCCAGCAUUUAAUUCAGGUCCCUCACUCGCACUCGCACCAGUGGGGUUUGGAGAGCAGCAGCCACGCCAACCACACCCUCAAGAAGAGCAUCUGCAAAGCUGCGUUCAUGCAUGAGGCAUCCACUCACGCAGCAGGGCCAGAAGCCCACAGCAGUGCAGCAGGGCACGCACCUCCCUGCGCAGUCGGAGGCACAGGGAAAGCAGCCCGUGAUAUUUACCUGCCGCCUGCGCAGCGCUCUCGGCCUGUUGCGUUGCUUCCUCGGCGAGCUUCUUCCCAAUCCCAAACAUGGCUGCUGCUGCUCUGCUCUCCCCACAGAGGAUGGGUGAUGGAGUCUCUAAGUUUGGUUCUGUUACGGUGUUCAGCAAAGUGCAGCUUUAUAUAGACAAAGCAGAACUCCUCCCCGUAGUUAGAGGGCAAACGCAGGCUGAGCGGGACGCGGCGAGCCCUGCUCGGUGAUUAAUACGCCAGGCAUAAAAGGGCGAAGAGGCAUUAGUGUUUGUUGUGCUUUCCUCCCCAGAGAGGGGGUGGGGAUUCAUCGGCAGAAGUUUUCCAUGGCCCAGGAAUCAAAGCUUUGUUUUCCAUGGCAAGAAGUUGGUAAACAGAGCGCAUUCCACAGCUGUCCUUACAAAACCUUCCCAGGAGGCUGCCGGGGCCAAAAAACACCCCAGUCCUCAGCUGAAGAAUUGCCUAAACCAGCUCUGGUAUUUCAAAGCCUUACAUAGAAAAGUAUCCAGUUUCAGAGGAUUCUUGCUCACUUUUUUCCCCCUCCGGGCAGGCUUAAACUCAUCGUUAUAAAACAAAUGGGAGGAGCUAACCCUGCUUUUUUUUUUUUUUGAGGAGUACGUGAUGAAAUCUUUGUUGUGUGAGAUGAGCCUAGCAGUUUCAUACUCUGUCAUAACACUGCCCAGCAGCCUGCCCCUGCUAGCCCUGUGCCCGGGGAGCUGCAGGCAGGAGGCCAGGCAGUGCAUCCAUCCCCCUCCAGCCUUCCCCAGUCCCUCUGGGAGGGCUGGUGGUGCUGCCCAGCUGCUCACACCCAGAGCAGCCAGCCUGUGCUCUGUUGGAGUCACCUGCUUUCCAGCACAGUUGGUUCUUGCACCCUUCCACGCUACGUACAAGGAUCUCCCACCGCUGUGAAGCUGUUUCUGCUGGAGCAGGAGGGAAAAAGGAAAGAAAAAAAAAGCAUAACCUGCCCCAAAACGGGUUCUGGCUACUCAGCCUGACCUUCUGCUCACAGCAGGCUCCAGGAACGUCCCUCUCCACACCAGACAAUUAACUUCUUCAACAACAGCUCCUUUACCAUUUGCCCACCUGCAUUUCAGCAAAGUAUCACUUUUCUUCCAAGCACUGCGGAUCCUCAUUGACGUAUAACAGGACAUUGUGCUCAACUAAAUAGGGUAUGGAGGGAUGUCUCCGUAUCAUGUUAUCUUCUGUCAGCAGAGGUUACUUACCACGUUGGAAAACAGCCUCUACCAAAACACACCCCUGAAAAACAAACAAACAAACAAACACAACAAAUAAAACCGAACCAUUUGGUUACAAAAAGCAAAGCCUUUGACCAAAAGAGAACCUGACAGAGUUUAGAAUGGUUCUACAGUGCAGCAAAAACCCAAAAGUCUUCAGACAACCCAGGGCAGCGUUCGGCCUCUGGAAACCCAU